UACGGGGGGGGCAAGCGUUGUUCGGAAUUACUGGGCGUAAAGGGCUCGUAGGUGGCCAACUAAGUCAGACGUGAAAUCCCUCAGCUUAACUGGGGAACUGCGUCUGAUACUGGAUGGCUUGAGUUUGGGAGAGGGAUGCGGAAUUCCAGGUGUAGCGGUGAAAUGCGUAGAUAUCUGGAGGAACACCGGUGGCGAAGGCGGCAUCCUGGACCAACACUGACACUGAUGAGCGAAAGCUAGGGGAGCAAACGGG
rnacentral:rRNA from 1 species